rnacentral:rRNA from 1 species
AACGAACGCUGGCGGCAUGCCUAACACAUGCAAGUCGAACGAGACCUUCGGGUCUAGUGGCGCACGGGUGCGUAACGCGUGGGAACAUGCACUUAGGUUCGGCAUAACUCCCCGAAAGGGGUGCUAAUACCGGAUAAUGUCUUCGGACCAAAGAUUUAUCGCCCUUGGUGGGGCCCGCGUUGGAUUAGCUAGUUGGUAGGGUAAAAGCCUACCACGGCGACGAUCCAUAGCUGGUCUGUGAGGAUGAUCAGCCACACUGGGACUGGGACACGGCCCGGACUCCUACGGGAGGCAGCAGUGGGGAAUAUUGGACAAUGGGCGAAAGCCUGAUCCAGCAAUGCCGCGUGAGUGAUGAAGGCCUUAAGGUUGUAAAGCUCUUGUACCCGGGAUGAUAAUGACAGUACCGGGAGAAUAAGCUCCGGCUAACUCCGUG